rnacentral:rRNA from 1 species
UGGGGAAUUUUGGACAAUGGGGGAGACCCUGAUCCAGCCAUCCCGCGUGUGCGAUGAAGGCCUUCGGGUUGUAAAGCACUUUUGGCAGGAAAGAAACGUCGCGGGUUAAUACCCCGCGAAACUGACGGUACCUGCAGAAUAAGCACCGGCUAACUACGUGCCAGCAGCCGCGGUAAUACGUAGGGUGCAAGCGUUAAUCGGAAUUACUGGGCGUAAAGCGUGCGCAGGCGGUUCGGAAAGAAAGAUGUGAAGUCCCAGAGCUUAACUUUGGAACUGCAUUUUUAACUACCGGGCUAGAGUGUGUCAGAGGGAGGUGGAAUUCCGCGUGUAGCAGUGAAAUGCGUAGAUAUGCGGAGGAACACCGAUGGCGAAGGCAGCCUCCUGGGAUAACACUGACGCUCAUGCACGAAAGCGUGGGGAGCAAACAGGAUUAGAUACCCUGGUAGUCCACGCCCUAAACGAUGUCAACUAGCUGUUGGGGCCUUCGGGCCUUGGUAGCGCAGCUAACGCGUAAGUUGACCGCCUGGGGAGUACGGUCGCAAGAUU